rnacentral:lncRNA from 1 species
AGAGCUGGCUGCUGUUCCGCUAGCGAGCGGCAUGCUUAGUGAAGAAAAGCUUAAAGGCCGUCUUUGCCCAAAACGCUCUCUGUGCGCACCUGCAUUUCCCCCAGAUUUGCAGGUGAUGAGAGUUCUGUAAAAUUACACAGCUAGUGACUGAUCCAGCGGAGGCCGAAUACAGAUGGAGUCUCACUCUGUUGCCAGGCUGGAGUGCAGUGGUGCCAUCUCAGCUCACUACAACCUCCACCUCCGGGGUUCAAGCGAUUCUCCUGCCUCAGCCUUCCGAGUAGCUGGGACUACAGGCUUGAAAUUGGUUUAUCAGGUCUGGAAGUGACUGGACUCUGGAGUACUGAGUUACCCACCACAAACUGCUAAUAAAAUGCUGUGUAAAAGCCAUUAA